AUUUUUUUAAAUUGUAUUAUUCAUAACAGUAACACAAUUGUAUUGGUUUUGUGUUGUACAUAUUUGAUAUCUGAUACGCAAACAUAUUCUUGAAGUGAAAUAUUUUGCCAACAAUAGUUCUUCCCCAUAGUAAAUACUGGAAACCAUACAUUAUCCUACCGCACCCCAAAUUCGACGACACCUAAAUUCGACGAUGUUCUAUUUAUAUUGAUUAAAUGGAUGAUUAUUGUCUUUGAAUCAUUUCAAAACACCAAACGCAAAGCCUAUCCCAAGGCAAUGCCCCAUUUGCGUGGUAAAAGGCAACACGACUGUGUACCUCCGGGUAACAGACCACGUUCGCUGGGUGCAAGCGCUGACGGCAGACCCCAUGAAGCCGUUGAUGUCAGAGGCACGUGCUAAGACCGGUCGGAAAGUGAAGAAGAUAAAGCCGAGGAAUUACUACUCUUGCUGGCUGUGCGACCGGUCGGUGAUUGACCGGCUGCGUCAUCUAGAACAGGAGCACAAAAUGGAGGCUGGGACAUUCAAUUUUGUUUACACAAGAGGGCCGUUUCCGGAAAGUCGCGAAAACUUCAGGAAAGGUGACCAGCAGACUCGCCACUCAUGAUGACUCGGCAUAGGAGGAUGAGAAGGUGGAGGAUGAGGAGGAGGAGGAAGAGGACUUUUCAUUCCUAAUGCCGAAAUACUGCCUGAGCCUGGAACCCAAUGCAAGGGUGAUGCAUGGUCGGAGAAGCUGCAAUUUCAAUCGUUGACUCAUAUGUAGACUACAUGUUCCUGCGGAGCAGGCCAGGUGGGUUGGCAAACGAGUCGAAAACACAAGAGGUCAACAUGAAGAUCAACCGGUUCCUGGCCCUGUCUGGCUACUUGGAAGGAGUGGUGUUGAGUGACAUGCUGUUGUGGAUGGGCCAUAUGGAGGUCCACGACAGUUCCUCAACACCACUCACCAGCUGGAGACGGUGCGGAAUGCACUAACGGCAAUCAAGAACUUCCUGAAGUGGUGCGAGGGAAUGGUCUAGCGGACGCCCGCACAUUGAACAAUGCUUCCUGACCUCAACCUGCCUGGAUAAGAGCCGUCGCGAGGUUGUUCGGAGGGUAGAGGAGAGUGCGGCCAUCCUGACGGACGCAAACCUGGAGCGCCACUUCACUGAGAGUGAGCAUGUAGUGAAAACGAUCAAGGUGAUCCAGGAGCCCCCAGCUGGCACACCUGAAAGAUAUUCGGGGAAUAAUCAUUAAACUGAUAGCGCUCUAUAAUGCCUCCUGAACUGGCAAGUGUACCUAGAGAUUGAGCUGGAGACAGUGAAGGUGCUGACCUCUGUGUGGAACACUUAGAAGCUGGCAAGUUUUCAUAUUGAAGGGUAUGGUUCCCAACCGCCCAUCACACACAGAAUGAAGCUUGUCGUCUUCCGCAGUAAAAACUGGGUGCUGGAAGAUGCUUACUGCUAUAUUGACUGCUUCCGAGCGCUUCCUGGACCUAAAAAUUAUCUCCCAGCAGCAACCUCCCCAAGGUGUGCCGAGAGUCUUCAAGGUCAAAGGUCCUAGGCCACUAAGAAAUAUUUCUUUUAAAUCUCACUCAAAUGGUGACCAUAUUGUUUCAAUAUGCAGAGUUUGGAUUUGGCAUCACUCAAUAAUAGCGUCAUUAACCGUUUCUGACGAACUUCCUACAUACCCAAACGCUUGACACCGUAUAGAAAACUAAGUUUUCGUAGCUGAUGAUACAUCCACAAGAAAAUUGAAAUGCAAAUGGUACUACACAGUCAAAAGUAUACCAAUGGAAAGAUCUAGGAUCCCAAAAGGUGCCUGGUGCUGCUAAAGAAGUGAGCAGUGUGGAAAUUCGGAACAGACGAUGACAUUUUCUGAUUAUGUGUUAUAUCAAGGGUAUUUGUAAGUAAAAUGUAUUUAAUUACAGGUGUAAGCACAUGUGCUUCGUGAGUGUUGUUAUCGAAUACUUGACAAAAUUAAUUAAAGUUUGGAGGAUAUUCAUCAUUUCAAUGUUGAUGCCUUAAAGGGACAGGAGCGAUGAACACAAAAAAAGGAGCUGGGUGAAGCUACCUCCUAUUUUGCUCUACGUUUUCCCUAAGUAUUCCAAGUUUGUUUGAGCCUAUACAUUGUGAAAUGUGUUUUGUUAUUAUGAAACCGGUUAACGUCGAAUAGACGCGAUUUAUAUGGGUAAUGAUUUUAGAUAGAAACGAAUUGAGCAAAUUACAAAAUUACAAGGCCCGGUCAGACCGACUUACGAAUAUGCAACGUAGAAAAAACGCACAAAAUUGCAGAUUUUGAUUAUCCGGUGAUGAAAUUACCUGCUUUGUCGCUCAAGAUUCUCGCAAACGGUGUGUGAAGCGUAGGAAACACACAAUUACCGCACAAGUACCGGUGCUAUAACGGGAAAAAACGAACGUUUAACGGAAAUGUACCUGAUAAUUAACGGUCGGCUAACGGAUAUGACUGUGCGAGUAAAGGACUUCUACCGGAUAAAACGGCAGUGAAAUGCAUUAGUACCGGACAAAACGUUCGCCCAACGUGAGAGAAACGGAAAAGUACCGAACACCAACGUACAACGUACAACGAUGAAAAAGUAGGGCACAUCCUCAGAAUCAUGUGGCAAAACUUCAGGUUCUGGCAGGUUAAGGUCUCCGUUCUCAGCUGCUGCCUUCAGGUCGGAAUCGUUCCACAACUGUGCAUCGGAUGCAGCAACACGGCCUCCAAUGUCAGCCCAGACGAACUUGUACUCAGAAUCCUACAGGGCUAGCAGGACAACGGUUAAGUACUUCUUGUAAUUAAAAUACGUAGACCCGGAUCUUGGUGGACAUUUGCAAGCAAUAUGUUCGCCAUCAAUAGCACCAAGAGUAUGGGGGAUAUUCCAGCUGUCCCUGAAGCCGUCCGCUAUUCGCGUGCAAUCGGCAGCUGUUGUUGGCAACGACAUCACCUCGUCAGCAUACUCAUCUAUGACUGCUCUACAGACCUGACGCGUAAAAGAUAACAGUAUAAUAAGCUCGCGUGGAUUAUAAGUGUAUGACACAUGUAGUAGAUAAUCCAUGACUUUUAGCGAGUGGAUGAUAAAGUAAAAAUAUACUACUUCAUAAAAUGUUCUUAUAACUGUGUGCAUUUCAAGAUAUGCGCACAAGACAGUACUAAUUACAAUAUACAAUUUAGAAGGUUAGUGUUGUAAUGCGCGCACUCAUCUAUUUGCCUUUUAUCCUAUACCAAUAACUUAACACAAUGCAAUUCAUAUAAACUGAUGCUAGACGUAGACAUUAAAAUAUAUAAAAAUAUUAAAAUGACUAACAGAA